CCUACGGGUGGCAGCAGUGAGGAAUAUUGGUCAAUGGGCUUAAGCCUGAACCAGCCAAGUCGCGUGAGGGAAGAAUGCCCUAUGGGUUGUAAACCUCUUUUGUCAGGGAGCAACGCCGGGUACGUGUCGCCGGCCUGAGAGUACCCGGAGAAAAAGCAUCGGCUAACUCCGUGCCAGCAGCCGCGGUAAUACGGAGGAUGCGAGCGUUAUCCGGAUUUAUUGGGUUUAAAGGGUGUGUAGGCGGGAUGCCAAGUCAGCGGUAAAAUCGCGGGGCUCAACCUCGCUCCGCCGUUGAAACUGGCGGUCUUGAGUGGGCGAGAAGAAUGCGGAAUGCGUGGUGUAGCGGUGAAAUGCAUAGAUAGCACGCAGAACCCCGAUUGCGAAGGCAGCAUUCCGGCGCCCAACUGACGCUGAGGCACGAAAGCGUGGGGAUCGAACAGGAUUAGAUACCCCAGUAGUC
rnacentral:rRNA from 1 species